rnacentral:lncRNA from 1 species
UCCCUGGUUCUGCUGUUGUGGAUCUUUUGUUUGCCAACGGUGAUGUGACACCAAAGAGUGUGUGAGGGCUCAGUGGUUCCAUCAGACACAUUGGAAUACAUCUUCAGUGGUAACAGACAGCAAAGACAUGGAUGACCAGUGGGACUUUCUACAGACCGUUUCAGCAAGUUCCAGCAUGUUGUAGGCAGCUGUUACCAACAAGCAGACUGAAGUAGCAAAGACUGAGGAAACAAAUUGGAGAAGAAGCCAGAAAUUAUGAUAGAAGUCAGUAUGAUCAGAGUGGGCCAGCUGGAACAGCAGUGACCCUGAUCCAGCUGGAGAAGCAUUCCCC